UUUCUCCACCAUGGGGGCUUUUCUCACUCUUCCAACUGGCUCCGGCUCGACCCUGGCUCAUCAGAUGGCAGAGCAUUCAAGAGGCAGCUCGGUCGAGGGCUCACCGGUGAGAGCUCUGGAAUCAGAAAAUGAGAAGCUCUGACAUCACUGGGUUUGGUUCUUGAUUCGGUUCAAGGAAAUAUUCCCCUUUAGUUGGACAGAGCCUGUG
rnacentral:lncRNA from 1 species